AUCAUUCACACAACACAAUGGACCGCGAGUUCCCUGCUGGCGCGCUCACCUCCGGGCUCAGCACCGGCUUGCUGGCUGCGACCCAGCGGUCACGCCUUUCCCCCGGUGGGAUCUCCCCGCCGCUCUGCGCUUGGGGAGCUCCCGGUGGAGCUGUGGGCGCCGCCGUGUCGCGGCGAGGAAAGGGGCGAGAGGAAAGAACCUUCUGUUGGAUGAAAUAAAAGCAAACACUGGGCCUUC